UACGUAGGGCGCGAGCGUUGUCCGGAAUUAUUGGGCGUAAAGAGCUCGUAGGCGGCCUGUUGCGUCCGCUGUGAAAUCCCAGGGCUCAACCCUGGGCGUGCAGUGGAUACGGGCAGGCUAGAGUGCGGGAGAGGAGAGUGGAAUUCCUGGUGUAGCGGUGAAAUGCGCAGAUAUCAGGAAGAACACCCGUGGCGAAGGCGGCUCUCUGGAACGCAACUGACGCUGAGACGCGAAAGCGUGGGGAGCAAACAGG
rnacentral:rRNA from 1 species